AUUGAACGCUGGCGGCAUGCCUUACACAUGCGAGUCGAACGGCAGCGGGGACUUCGGUCCGCCGGCGAGUGGCGAACGGGUGAGUAAUACAUCGGAACGUGCCCUGUAGUGGGGGAUAACUAGUCGAAAGAUUAGCUAAUACCGCAUACGACCUGAGGGUGAAAGGGGGGGACCGCAAGGCCUCAUGCUAUAGGAGCGGCCGAUGUCUGAUUAGCUAGUUGGUGGGGUAAGGGCCUACCAAGGCGACGAUCAGUAGCUGGUCUGAGAGGACGAUCAGCCACACUGGGACUGAGACACGGCCCAGACUCCUACGGGAGGCAGCAGUGGGGAAUUUUGGACAAUGGGCGAAAGCCUGAUCCAGCAAUGCCGCGUGUGUGAAGAAGGCCUUCGGGUUGUAAAGCACUUUUGUCCGGAAAGAAAUGGCUCUGGUUAAUACCUGGGGUCGAUGACGGUACCGGAAGAAUAAGGACCGGCUAACUACGUGCCAGCAGCCGCGGUAA
rnacentral:rRNA from 1 species